CUACAAAAAAGUUUGAUAAAGUGGUGACUUUGUAUCUCAAAAGUAAAUGUAUGUGUCUUAUUGUAAAUCCAUUUACCAAACACGGCGUUGGCGUGAGUCAUUCUGAGCGUGCACCGGUUUAGUUUAAGCGCCAAAUCUCUUUCCACAAAAACACCUGCACACUGAAGACUAGCGAAGCAAGCUUAGAGCCCCCUCUCUCCCUCUCCAUUACAUCCCUCUACAGUUUUCAACUUCAUGGCAGAAAAGCAAAAGGAAUCCCUCUCAUCCGCCAAAUCAAAGGAAAAAACAGCACUUUUUGCAGAUUUGGAUAUUGGAAAGGAUUUUCUUACUUCGUGGAAAUCGAUGGGUGAAGAUGAUCAAAUGGAUUUUGACUUUUCAACAGUUGCUAAAGGCAAUAAAAAGCCAUUCAAAUUUGACAAUAUGGACAUGGAUUUCAAGCUUGAUGAUGAUUUUGGGAAAAUAUCAUCAUUCAAUGUAGACAUGUCAGACCUCGAUGUCUCUUCCCCAGUGAAAAAGACUGGAAAGCCUAGUGGGAAGUCAAAAGAAGUAUCAGCAGAAAAAAAGACUCAAGGGAAAUCAGAUCGGUCGACCUUCCAGUUUGAUUUUGAUGGGUUUGACGAUUUUAAUUUCGGGCCAAGCUCAGGCAAGAUAUCUAAGCAAACUAAUGCAAACCAAGAUGCAGCACGUUCUCCAAGCCUAAGUGGGAGUCUAGGAUUUGGGACCCACUUUAAAGAAACCAUUGGAGCAUCUGAGGGAGAUGCCACCUCAAAGUUUGAUAGCCAACUUGGUGGAGAACCGAAUUCCUUGAGUAAGGAGAAGUCGCACACAUCUUUGACGGAUGUGCAAAUGCCUUCAAAAUCAGAAGUAGCCAAAGAUGAAGCUACUAACCUGGUGGGACCAAUUUCACCACAGAAACCAAUUUGCGGAAGCACAAACGAAACAGACCACGAAAAAUGCGAAGGAGAGAGAAGUACUCAGCAAGAACCAGAUAAAGAAACAUGUCAGAAUUUAUCUCUUCUAUCUCUAUCUGAGAAUUCUUCAAGUCAUCAGAUUCCUCAUAAUCCAACAGAGGAAGUUGGUUGUUUAGUUAGAAAGGAAAGUACAUACUCUGAUAGUGAACAAAGUAUAUCUGGUGAAAAAACUGAUAUCGGGUUCAAGUCUGGGAAUUUACACUUGGACAAACUGCCAGUAGAUAUAGCAUGCUCACAGAGCAAUGAUGGUGAAAAUAGCGAGUUUUCAGGUGAUAAUCCUGUCCUUAAAGACAACAAUGAUGAUGCUGAACCAGCUCAAAGCGGUACACAGAUUGAACAAACUUCCACAACAACCGCGUCAAAGAAAAUGCUCCAUGAAAUAGAGACUGAUGGGGAGACUAUGAAUGUGACUUCAGAGCUUGUUGCAACACCAUCAGAUACAAUGGACACAAUUAUUGAAGCCACAGGUGAUAAGGAAUUGCCAGGUCCAAAACGGGUAAAAAAUGUUGUCAGGUCAAAGUAUUUCAAGGGAUCAGAUGAAGCGAAGUUGCAAGUACAGCAAUCGUCAGUAACUCAGAUAAAUGCUGCAGCCUUCGAUAGACAAAGGAUUCAGACAUUCCAAUUAAGUCCUGCAGAUGAAGGUGCAACAAUGGUUGAUAAAGCAAUGCCAGUAAAGGAAAGUUUACCAACCAGCAACUCUGAGAGUUUUCAGGGAGAUGAAACUAAAUCUCAACUGCAGCAGGCAUCAUUAUCCCAGGUGAAGAUUGGAACUAUCAGUAGCCAAAAGAUCACCAUUUCACAACAAAGUUCUGCAAUUGAAAAUAUUAAUAUUAACAGGAAAUCUGACAAGAAAGAUUCACAAACUGGGAGCAAAUUGGGUGCUCUACCACGGCCAAGCACACUUCCUUCAGAGCAAACAAAUAGUGGCUCAGUUGGGAUAAGAAGUCAAAAGAGCUCUAGCAAUCUGAUAAGUAAACGGGGAAGCUUAAAUACUGUUGACACCAGGAAAAUUUUGAAUAAUAGAUCAAGGCUUCAAGAUAUGGAUGUGACCAAAGGAUUUCGGACUGGAAGUAAAAGUGAGGACCUCGAUAAAUUCAGGAAGCUUGACAACCAAGUUGCAAAAACUGGAAGAAUAUUACCAGUUCUUCCAAAGGCAACUUCGAGAGAGCAAAUUGAAGGCUGCUCAGUUCAGAUUAGAAGUCAGGGAAUCCCUAAAGAUCUCACCACCAAUGGGGAAGGAUACAUUUCAGAUAACAGCAGAACUUUAAAGGGCAUGCCAAGGCUACAUGACAAGGAUGCUGCAAAAGGGGAACCUGCAUCAUCUGGAAGUGGAAAGAAUGUAAAGGACCUCAAUACUAUCAGCUUGCAUGUUGAACCUUCCAGUUCAAAUGAGCAGGCAAAUGCAUCUGCUUUGCUGCUUGGCCAAUAUCCUAGACUUCCACUUUCAGGCAUGCAAGCUCUCCAGAACAAUAUCGUUGCUUCUGAAAACCAAAAAGUGCCUGACCUUAAAGACGGCUUUAGGACAUCUGCUCCUUUUAAGCUAAAUAAUUUGAGGACUACAGAAAAAGUUCAAUCCCCAUCAAACUCAACACUGCAGAAGGAUCCUAGAUUGGUGACCAACUCAAGACAAGGUGUAGACUUGAAAGAAAACACAGGAUCUAGAAUGGGGCAUACUGCAGACACAAGGAAAAAAGCAUCAUCUAGCCCAACGCUAAAGAGGAAAGAGAUUGAGGAUUCUAGUGCAAGUUUACCUAUGUUGAAACCAACAAAACGUCUGUUGAAAUCACCUAGCGGAAGCAGCGAUGUUAAAGAAUUGUUGGAAAAUUUUGUUGACAGGGAGCAUAAUUGUGAUGGAAACACAGAGAAUGGUCUUAGUAAAUCCCUGAGUUCGUUUCUACAUUUCCCUCAGGAAGUACACAUGAAUGAACUAGAAACCAUUCUAGAAAUAGACAAUGACACCAAUGUCGAGAUAGCCCAAGCAUGUGCAAAGGAGCUUGAUGAUUUGGCCAAUAUGCUGAAAAAGAAACACGAGGAAGCGAAGGAGAUUUUGGUUCGAGCUGUUGUCAACAAUAAUAAACUGCUGAUGCUGAACCACCCCAUAGCUAUCCAUGAGAAAAAGGCUCACUUGAUCGAGGAAUUUGCUGCCUUGUUGUUGUCCAAGUAGCUUUUCAUUUAGAAGGAGCAUCUGCUCUAUCUCGUCUGUGAGGCAUUUUUGUUGCUCCAUUCACUUCCAAUCACUUUGAUCAGGCAGACGAGGAAGCUGAGAUGUCUAGUCUUUCAAUUCUAACACUUUCCGAACUUUUGCGUAUCAUCCUUUACAGGAACCUCUAUGGUGCAUUCAAGCUAUAUGGUCUCUUCAUGCCAUCAAGUUGAAAUUGCCAGGAACCUUGGUGGUGUAUUCAAGCUUUAUAGCUUCUUCGAUAUCAUUCACAAUAAGCUUCACUAACAGAGUAAAAAAGUCUAUCAAGAGGAAACAUUAAGGGUCCGAGGCCCGUCCUCUUAGUCCGCCCACCCCAAAGAAGAAUCUCAGCGCUCCAUUUGAAGCAAUAUUCAAAACUGCUAUAGAAGCAAGCAAAACCGUACGUAAUCCCCAGAGAUCAGCCCCAGGCGGCCCUGACCCUCAACAUCAUUAGUAGUGAGAAGCUUUUGAAGCCAAUGAUUUUUGCUGAUAUCAUGGCGAGUGGCAACAAGUGCGGUGUAGCGAUGAUUCUUAUAAUAUAUGCUGAAUAUCUUGUUCACAUUAGUAAUAGCUCUGCAUUAUUCAUCAUAGCUUUUUUACAAUUAUCAUAAAUUUAUAUUUUCUGAUUCUCAAAAGAAAUGCUACUUGAUUAUUAGUUCCUCUGCAUAAAUCAUGAAUUCUGUA